GUUUGACCUAAAUGGCCUCUAUCAGUGUGAAGCAUAUGGAAGGAAACACGGUCGGCUGUAUGUGUAUGUGGCAUCAGAAGCAUGCUGUGCUGUUUGGGUCUUAUUUGGUGUUCUGCUUUCUCUGAAUGUUUUUGGAGCUGCAGCGUGCUACAUCUAUAGAUGCAGACAUUUUCAAAGCCUGGAAGAUGAUCAGCAUAUUUAAAAGAAGAAAAGAGGCAGCACAAAAGGAGUGUCUCUGACAGUUGUGGAAUCAAUUUGGACCGAAGCCUCCACCAACCUUUAAUUCUAGACUCGACUACUAAAUAGGAUGAAAAUGGAUGAAGAUUCUUGGUUCCCAUCUAUAUCCCCAUCUGCCUGUCAUUGCUAUUUGGGUUUCAUCAGCAAUAAAACUGUUUUAUUGUUUUCCACACGCUUAUUAGUAUUAGAUUAUCCACAGCUAUAAAUAUUUAUUCAUUCAGCACCAUGUCUCUUUAUACUCUAAAUGCACUGUGACAUUGUGUACUGUGUUUUCUGUAAGCUGCUUUCCAUUUCAAAAUGUAAAAGGCUGAGUAGAAUAUUUCACUGCUGUCUUCACACAAAGUAAUCUCAGUGAAACCCUCUGAUCAUCUGUUUUGUGUUGACUUCACGGUAUAAGUAUACUUGCUUGAGACAGAAACCACAUUCAGCAACAAUGGAUUGCAUUUAUGUUUUUUCUUUAUUUUCGUGCCUAUUUACAUUAUAGAUUCUCACUGAAGACAUCAAAACUUGUCUGUUUGUACAGACAAGCUGCCAAACAGUGUUGCAGGAGAACAGACUGUUCUCCAGCACACCUCAGUCUACUGAGAGGAGUACUUGUGGUUUUAAUAAAAAUUAUGUUCUUGUU